CGGUCCGGUCUCUUUAAGCUGUGGAAGAAGCCGCUGCCUGAGAGAUUAUCAGUAACAAGAUUUCAAGAUCAUCCAGUCCAACACACAGGGGUUGGUGUUCAAAGACCCAGAAGUAGACAUCUUGACUGCUUCCCGAUCCCGGUUUUAUCUGGGCUCCCUAAACCUGCAACCUCGCUAUGGAUGACUUUGAACGUCGCAGAGAACUCAGGAGGCAAAAGAGGGAGGAGAUGCGCCUGGAAGCAGAGAGAAUCGCCUAUCAGCGGAAUGAUGAUGACGAGGAAGAGGCUGCCAGGGAACGGCGUCGCCGUGCCCGGCAGGAAAGGCUGCGUCAGAAGCAAGAAGAGGAAUCCUUGGGACAGGUGACAGGCCAGGCAGAGACUCAUGCCCAGAACAGUGUCCCUGAUGAAGAGUCUAAGCCAGCCACCACAAACACUCAGGUAGAAGGCGAUGAGGAGGCUGCCUUACUGGAGCGCCUGGCUAGGCGAGAAGAGAGGCGUCAGAAACGCCUCCAGGAAGCUCUAGAACGUCAGAAGGAGUUUGAUCCAACGGUAACAGAUGCCAGUCUGCCAAGCCCUAGCAGGAGAAUGCAAAAUGACACAGCAGAAAACGAAACAGCAGAGAAGGAAGAAAAGAGAGAGAGUCGCCCCGGACGAUAUGAGGUGGAAGAGACAGAAGUAGUCAUCAAGUCCUACCAGAAGAACAGCUAUCAGGAUGCUGAGGACAAAAAGAAAGAAGAGGAGGAGGAGCUGAAGGGAGGGAGCCUUGGCGAGAAUCAGAUCAAAGAUGAGAAGAUUAAAAAGGACAAAGAACCCAAAGAAGAAGUUAAGAGCUUCUUGGAUCGGAAGAAAGGGUUUACAGAAGUGAAGGCGCAGAACGGGGAAUUCAUGACUCACAAACUUAAACAAACUGAGAAUGCUUUCAGCCCCAGCCGCCCAGGAGGCCGGGCCAGUGGGGACAAGGAAGCCGAAGGUGCCCCGCAAGUGGAAGCUGGCAAGAGACUGGAGGAGCUGCGCAGGCGCCGCGGGGAGACUGAGAGCGAAGAGUUUGAGAAACUCAAACAAAAGCAACAGGAGGCAGCCUUGGAGCUGGAAGAGCUGAAGAAAAAGAGAGAGGAGAGAAGGAAGGUCCUGGAGGAAGAGGAGCAGAGAAGAAAGCAGGAGGAGGCUGACCGAAAAGCUAGAGAGGAGGAAGAGAAGAGGAGGCUAAAGGAGGAGAUUGAAAAGAGACGGGCAGAAGCUGCUGAAAAACGUCAGAAGAUGCCAGAAGAUGGCUUAUCCGAGGACAAGAAGCCAUUCAAGUGUUUCACUCCUAAAGGCUCAUCCCUCAAGAUAGAGGAACGAGCAGAAUUCCUGAAUAAGUCUGUGCAGAAAAGUGGUGUCAAAUCUACUCAUCAAGCAGCAGUAGUCUCCAAGAUUGACAGCCGGCUGGAGCAGUAUACCAAUGCAAUUGAGGGAACAAAAGCUUCAAAACCUACUAAGCCCGCAGCAUCGGAUCUUCCUGUUCCUGCCGAGGGCGUCCGCAAUAUCAAGAGCAUGUGGGAGAAAGGGAAUGUGUUUUCAUCUCCGUCUGCCCCAGGAACACCAAAUAAGGAAACCGCUGGCCUGAAGGUGGGAGUCUCUAGCCGCAUCAAUGAAUGGCUAACUAAAUCACCAGACGGCAACAAAUCACCUGCUCCAAAGCCUUCUAAUGAUGCCUUUCUCAGCUGGCUUCUCUUCUUCAUUCUUGCGUCUCUGGUUGACUGGAACCCUGCCUUUCCUGCCUUCAUUUCUCCCACUUCUCCCAGAGUGGGCCUUUCUCUAACAUGUAGUCUGGUCAGGACUUGAGGCCAGGAGAUGUAUCUGGCAAGCGGAACCUCUGGGAAAAGCAAUCUGUGGAUAAGGUCACUUCCCCCACUAAGGUUUGAAACAAUCGGAAAAAGAACCCAACUGCAAGACAUCUUGCUGGGCCAGCUCAGUUGUAGGGGGCUAAUUGCUCUGUUUAUAUUUAUGUUGAUUUACUAAAUUGGGUUCAUUUUCCUUUUUUUUCUAAUUUUCCAAUAUCCCAGUAAAUCCAUGUAUAUGCACACUAUAUUUAAUAAUCACAACUAGAGAUGUUCAUGGUCAAAGUACUGCCUUUGCAAAGGAGCCUGUUUCUAAACAAACCCAUGCUGUGAAAUAGACUCACUACUGUCUACUGUCGUCUGAACAGUGACACCAACUACAUUGGAAGUCAACAAAAGGAAUUUGAGGUUAAGAUUAACUGAGGAAUGUAUGCAGCAUUUGGGGGGAGGGGGAGGAGGUGAACCAUAGGUUUGGUUUUGUUUCCAUAACGACAUCAUGUUUCUGCACUUUAGAGUAAAGCAUGGAAGAAAUUAUCUAAGUAGGCAAUUGGAACUAUAUGAAAGUAAUCCAUUUCAGAUCUGAUCUAGGGCAAUAAUGGUUGUAUUUUUUU